AACUUCUUAUUUAAGCUCUGUGCUAAAAGUGUAGAAACCAGUAUCUGCAUUGUCUUAGUACUCGUAAUAAAGCUGACAGAGUAAAAACAAGGAGACAAACAACUAUACCAGAUAGUAGAAAAACUACAGGUAACUCCAUGGUAUUUUGUUCUAAGAUUUGGUAAUAUCC
ensembl:snoRNA